CUUAUCUCAAACCUCUAAAGCUUUGGAAGAAACCUAAUGGGGACCCAUUGACCAAGACAAAGAAACACAUGAUGGAGAUCCACCAUCUAAUCCAGCUAAUCCACUUGGAGCCAAAACGCAUUUUUUCUAAUACUGUAAUAACAAGACUCCAAUUUACAUGAUCGUAAGCCUUUUCAAUAUCAAGGUUACAAAUGAUCCCUCCCGAGUUGUCUUUAAGUAAAGAGUCAAUGCCUUAUUUGCUAUCAAAAUGGUGUUCAAAAUUUGUCUCCCCACCACAAAGGCAUACUGAAAUUUGGAGACUAUUUACCCACUACUUUCUUAAGUCUAUUAGCUAGGAGCUUUGCUAGAAGCUUGUAUAAACCUUCUACUAAGUUAAUUAGUCUAAAGUCCUUUAAGUCUUUUGCACUCCUUUUCAAUCAAGACUAUGAACAUGGUGUUUAAACUCCUCUCAAAGGACCAUAAAUCACAGAACUUUGCAAAAGAACCCAUCGCCUCCCUUUUCACAAAAUCCUAACAAAACUAUCAAAAGGCCAUGGAGAAGCCAUCUGAACUAAGGGCCUAAUCCCCACUUAAACUGGAUAAAGUAACGAGGACCUCCUCUUCGAAGAAAGGGAUCUCUAAAGCCUCUGAAUUAGUCCUAGACAAGGAUUUGAAGGAGAAACCACUAAUGCUGGCCUUCACUCCCCCAACUUAGAUAAAGACAAGCAAAAAGUAUUUGCCACUCCUUUAUUGUCAACUUCCUCGGUUAACACUUUGUCAUUCGCCCAUAACUUGGCCAAAAAAUUCCUUCUUCUUUGUGCAUUGGCCAUUUUGUGAAAAAAUUUAGUAUUCUUAUCUCCCUCUUUCAGCCAAAGUUCUCUUGAUUUUUGUCUCCAAGAGAUUUCCUCCAUCGCUGUGCAUUUUCAAAAAAAUCCUCCGCCACCCCCCUUCUAACCUCUCAUUGCUGGGAUCCCCACACAAGGAAGACAUCAAACAAUCCACUUAUUUUAAAGUCUUCAUAUCUGAAUGCCUGAUCUUAUUUAGCAUAUUUCCUAGUCUAUAUUUAGAUGCUCCUUUGAUUUGUUGUUGAAGCAGUUCAAAUGCAUAAUCCAAUUUAUGGGUUCUUAUCAUGGUUGUGUGGCUUCAUUCUGUUUUGUUUCCUAGUUGAAGCUCACCUUGAUGGGGUACCUUAUCCCUUUAUUGUGUCUGCGAUUUUGCAUGUCUUCCAUGUGCUUUAUAGGUGUAUGGGAUUAGCAUCCAACCUCUAUGUCAAUAAUUCUUUUUCAAGUACUUGAAAAUUUAACAUUGAUUGUUAUGCACAACUCCCUAUAACCUAUAGUUUCCUCAAAUAGGUUUUGUUGCUAAUCAUCUCUUCUGCAGUCUUUCCUCUAAAUAACAUGGAGAAGAUAGCCCACAAAACAAAAAAAGGAAGGUUAAUUGUUCCCUUGUAUGUUCAUUAACUCAUUGCCAACAAAUUGGUGGUCUGAUUGGGUGUCCACUGCCAAAGGGUGUGCCAGACAUACGAAGGAUUGACAACUGAUUUUACUGCCUGCAGGGUCAUCACUUGGAGAAUCUAUUUUCUGUUGUACUGUUCCCUCUAACAUUUGUCACAAAAUGACUUCUGGUGCAGCUUCAAUACUCAACUUUGAAGACAUGACAACACAAAGGAUACUGUUAAUUUGUAGACUUAUAAUCCAGGCAGCAGGAGCUGUAUUGUGAGAACCUCAACGCUCUUUUAUAAAUCUGAUUCCUGAUCCAUCAGAGGGAAUUGGGGAAUGCUACAUACUUCAUGGACUCAUGGAGCUCUGAUCCUGAAAGAGAUUGUUUUGAUUCAAGCAGCAGCUGCCCAUCCUCAUGAAUAAAAUCUGCAGUUUUGACAAAUUCCUUCUUCUCAGAGGAUCCUCUGAUCUUCAUAGCAGGUGACUCAAUGCUGAUGUGAACAUGCAAAAGGGCACCUUUUUUUUUACCUAUGUGAUUUUGCUAUUGGCAUAAAGCAUAAUAAAAGUGGGAGAAAAUGAGAGAAUGGAAUGUAAAUGAUAACAACACUAAAACACUGAUAUCAGUUGUG